CAAUACUUGAUGGCGACCGGCGCACGGGUGAGUAACACGUAUCCAACCUGCCGAUAACUCCGGAAUAGCCUUUCGAAAGAAAGAUUAAUACCGGAUAGUAUACGAAUAUCGCAUGAUAUUUUUAUUAAAGAAUUUCGGUUAUCGAUGGGGAUGCGUUCCAUUAGUUUGUUGGCGGGGUAACGGCCCACCAAGACUACGAUGGAUAGGGGUUCUGAGAGGAAGGUCCCCCACAUUGGAACUGAGACACGGUCCAA
rnacentral:rRNA from 1 species